AAUCACCAGUGGUCAAGGUAAGACAGUGGAUUGUCAGUCCACCAGGCAUUCCUUUCCUGUUCAAUGCAGGAUGGUGUUUU